GAGUUUGAUCCUGGCUCAGGAUGAACGCUAGCGGCAGGCUUAAUACAUGCAAGUCGUGGGGCAGCACAGGUAGCAAUACUGGGUGGCGACCGGCAAACGGGUGCGGAACACGUACGCAACCUUCCCAAAACUGGUGAAUAGCCCUCCGAAAGGAGGAUUAAUACACCGUAACAUAAUGAAAUGGCAUCAUUUUAUUAUUAUAGCUCCGGCGGUUUUGGAUGGGCGUGCGCCUGAUUAGGUAGUUGGCGGGGUAACGGCCCACCAAGCCUACGAUCAGUAACUGGUGUGAGAGCACGACCAGUCACACGGGCACUGAGACACGGGCCCGACUCCUACGGGAGGCAGCAGUAAGGAAUAUUGGUCAAUGGACGCAAGUCUGAACCAGCCAUGCCGCGUGAAGGAUGAAGGUCCUCUGGAUUGUAAACCUCUUUUAUAGGGGACGAAAAAAGGGAAUUCUUCUCACUUGACGGUACCCUAGGAAUAAGCACCGGCUAACUCCGU
rnacentral:rRNA from 1 species